rnacentral:misc_RNA from 1 species
UUGUUCUUUGAAAACUAGAUAAUAUCAAAUAUAUUUUUUCAUAAUGAAACCGAGAACACCGCGUUUUUUGAGUUUUUUAUUGAAGUUUAAUUAUCGCUAAACUCAUUAAUCGCAUUUACCGUUA